rnacentral:lncRNA from 1 species
ACCAGUUGUAGUGUGGUGGGCGGGGUGGUAUGCCCUCGUCCAUGGCCUGUGGCGGCUUUUUGCCUGCAGGUUCUGUGCUUCCCUGCAGUUGUACAUAGAAGGAAUGUUGAAGUCUCGGACUGCCGUUCGAGCGCGUUGUUUCGUUCGAUUUUCUACGCUAUAGCUUACAAUACAUUUUAUUUUUAUGAUCCCAAGCCGGUUUAAUAAGACGAAGUGUUUGCGUGAAAGCUUCGGGACGCCAGAUGAAGAGCGGAAGACCGCAGAUUUAGAGGAAGAGGCGUAAUGAGCACAAAAAUUCUUUGUUCUCGGGACCGGUGUCAGCGGUAUGGGUUUGGUCUAAAUAGUCGCGGGGUGCAGUUGUGCAAUGUGCCCCAGGCGGCUUCCAAGCCAAAGAAGUUCUCACGUGCAGCUUACGCCCGAGAUCGUUGGUAGGGAAGUUUUUCUCCCUUAACUGGUCAAACGUGUCACACUUUCAGUCUUUUAUGCGGUGUGUUCCCCUGAUUUUCGCUGUAACUCUGUUGGCGGCAGGCGUGUUGCUACGUUUCCGUAGGUGAGUUAAAGUUGUUAGUGUAGGGGUCUUGCUGGUGUGCCGCAAGAAAUUUCACAGGAUGAAACGUCUCCUUUGAGACCUCUCGUUUGGUUCCGGUACACGUACACAGAUUCGACUGGAGAUGUACUGCUCUCGGGCACACGACAGUGCAUUUGACGGGGCAGUGGACUGUCCUCCGAUGGUCGUAUCACAACCACUGCAAAUUUGUGCUUGUGGCCCUCAACAAAUGACAG